UUCUUUUUUUUUGCAGCUUAACCUCAGAUGGCAUUUCCUAUGCACGGAAGAAUUUGCAUUGCCGCAUAAGGAAUUGUUUGCUACAGAAAAGCACAGCCAAUAUUGCCCAUGAUAACGAACAAGAGUAAGCCAUUCAGCCCCUGGAGAAUGAUCCACCAUUCAAUUAGAUUGGGGUUUUCAGAUGGUCAUUUACCUCAGGGAACAGGCAAGAAUGUGAAAGUCGCUGGCCAGGUCAGGAGGCUAUCAGACUGUCAAUACAAAAAAUUGUAGCCAUGGUUAAAUCUAGCCGGAUAAAUGGGAACAGGAAAGGAAUUCUC